GACGAACGCUGGCGGCGUGCUUAACACAUGCAAGUCGAACGGGCCUGUCUUCUUUUUUGGGGGGUGGGUUGAGUGGCGAACGGGUGAGUAUCACGUGAGUAACCUGCCCUUCGGUCCUGGAUAACCGCUUGAAAGGGCGGCAAUAACGGGGUGGUCGGGUUGGCCGGCUGGGGCUGGCGGGGUUGGAUUACUGGUUUUUGGUGUUUGGCGGGGGGUUGGGCGCGCGGCUUAUAAGCUUGUGGGUGGGGGGAUGGCCUACCAAGGCGGUGACGGGUAGCCGGCCUGAGAGGGUGGGCGGCCACACUGGGACUGAGAUACGGCCCAGACUCCUGCGGGAGGCAGCAGUGGGGGGUAUUGCACAAUGGGCGGAAGCCUGAUGCAGCGACGUCGCGUGAGGGAUGGAGGCCUUCGGGUUGUGAACCUCUGUUUCCGGUGGUGAAGGCCCUGUCCGUGUGGUGGGGUUGACGGUAGCCGGGGAUGAAGCGCCGGCUAACUACGUG
rnacentral:rRNA from 1 species